rnacentral:rRNA from 1 species
CGCGUAGGAAUCUGCCUAUUAGUGGGGGACAACAUGGGGAAACUCAUGCUAAUACCGCAUACGCCCUACGGGGGAAAGCAGGGGAUCUUCGGACCUUGCGCUAAUAGAUGAGCCUGCGUUAGAUUAGCUAGUUGGUGAGGUAAAGGCUCACCAAGGCGACGAUCUAUAGCUGGUCUGAGAGGACGAUCAGCCACACUGGGACUGAGACACGGCCCAGACUCCUACGGGAGGCAGCAGUGGGGAAUAUUGGACAAUGGGCGCAAGCCUGAUCCAGCAAUACCGCGUGUGUGAAGAAGGCCUGAGGGUUGUAAAGCACUUUCAAUUGGGAGGAAAACAGGCAGGGUUAAUAUCCUGUCUCUUGACAUUACCUUUAGAAGAAGCACCGGGCUAACUCCGUGCCAGCCCGC